GGAUAUGAAGCAAUACUGCUGAGAGAUGUCCAUUAACGAUCCUGCUGAAUAGACUUAUGCUUAGUCACUGUUUCUCCCUCGCCAUUCCAAGUGUGUCCUUCCUAAAGCUACACAAAACACUCAAAUAAGAUGACCUAUCAUCCAGUUAGAAGAGGACUGGGUUUUUUUGGUUGAAGGUGUAUGAUAGUUGCACUUCCCUGCUAGAACCUCCAGACAAAAAUAAGGAUUUCUAACACUAUACUUAACAGUUUGUUUGUGGCUUAAGAAGGGGAACUAGCUAAUUUAGAAUUCUGGUCAUUCCAGUUGUGGGGACCAUUACCU
ensembl:misc_RNA 7SK 7SK RNA